GACAGCUGUUUUUUUUAUUUUUUAUUAUAGCUCUUUCCUGUUAGACAGUCUGAAACCAAUACACCAAGAACUGAAUCGAGACUGCAGCGUUAAACACCAGCAGAUAAGCAGAUUUUAUUGCGAACCAUAGAAUGUAUAUAUUGGGGCCCAGAGUAUACUGGCCAUGAGUUUUUUCACCAGCCACAAUUGUGCUCUUUUGUCACCUGCACUGCCACCAUUACAUAUGAGAAACAUGGAAAUAAGGUGGAAGAGGCACAUUGCUUAUUGUACAGGGUGGGUCAAUAGGGUUAGGUGGCCGCCUGCUUUGACACCUCUCACCAUCCAGGAGUAGGAUGUUGGGGUCAGCAUAGGUUAUUUUUAGAACCAUUUUUGUAUUUUGCAUUAACCCCUUAAGGACCGGACUGUUUUGGCCAUGUUGUACGUUAAGGACCAGUGCUAUUUUAGCACUUUUGUGGUGUUUGUGUUUAGCUGUAAUUUUCCGCUCUCUCAUUUACUGUUCCCAUACAAAUUAUUUAUUGUUCAGGACAAGAAGGGCUUUCUUUACAUACCAUUGUUUGUAUCAUGUCAUAUAAUUUACUUUAAAAAAAAUAUUCAAAUAUGGUGAAAAUUUUAAAUAAAAAUGUGUUUUUGGACUUUUACUUGAAAAAUCUUUUACUUAUCUACAAAAGCUAAUGAAAAAAACUGCUAAAUAGAUUCAAAAUGUUGUCCUGCGUUUACAAACACCCAGUUUUUACAUGCUUUUUUGCUUUUUUUUUUUUUGUGCAAGUUAUAGGGCUAUAAUUACAAGUAGGAAAUUGCGGUUUCAAAAUAUAUAUUUUUUUAAAAUUCAUUAAUAGUGACAUUGUAACACUGUCAUAAAUCUCUGAAUCACACCUCACAUGUACAUAUUUUUUUAAAGUACACAACCCAUGGUAUUCAAUAUGGGAUAUGCCCAGUCUUUUUUAGUAGCCACUUAGUCACAAACACUGGCCAAAGUUAGCAUUUAUAUUUGUGUGUUAAAAAUGCAAAAAACAAUUAUGAACGCUAACUUUGACCAGUGUUUGUGACUAAGUGGCUACUAAAAAAGACUGAACAUACCCCAUUUGCAAUACCUUGGGUUGUCCUCUUUUGCAAAUGGAAUGCCAUCAUGGGGGUAAUUCUCAUUCCUGGGCUACCAUACGCUCUCAAAGGCAACAUAACCAACCUGGCAAAUUUCAAUGUAAAAAAAAAAAAAAUGGAAAAGCAAGCCUUAUAUUUGGCCCUGUAACUUUCAAAAACACUAUAAAACCUGUACGUAGGGGGUACUGUUAUACUCUGAAGACUUUGCUGAACACAAAUAUUAGUAUUUCAAAACAGUAAAACGUAUUACAAUAAUAAUAUCAUCAGUGAAAGUGCUGUUUGUGUAUGAAAAAUGCAAAAAAUGUCACUUUCACUAACAAUAUCAUCGCUGUGAUAUGUUUUACUGUUGAAACACUAAUAUGUCUGUUCAGCGAAGUCUCCCGAGUAAAACAGUAGCCCCAUGUACAGGUUUUAGGGUGUCAUAGAAAGUCACAGUCAAAGGGUUAAACACAGUGCUACCAAAUUGAAUUCUCUGGACUUUCAGCCUGGGUUGUCAGGCAGCUCCCUCAAAUUGCAAUCAAUAAAAUUACUGAAUUAUGUAAAAAUAUUUCAUAAAUAUGCACGUAGAAUUUAAAUAUACAUACAUACAUAUUUAUUUAUUUGAAGUCUACGUGUAUAUUUAUG